CUGGCUCAGGACGAACGCUGGCGGCGUGCCUAAUACAUGCAAGUCGAGCGAACCACUUCGGUGGUUAGCGGCGGACGGGUGAGUAACACGUGGGCAACCUGCCUGUAAGACUGGGAUAACUUCGGGAAACCGGAGCUAAUACCGGAUAAUCCUUUUCCUCUCAUGRGGRAAAGCUGAAAGACGGUUUCGGCUGUCACUUACAGAUGGGCCCGCGGCGCAUUAGCUAGUUGGUGAGGUAACGGCUCACCAAGGCGACGAUGCGUAGCCGACCUGAGAGGGUGAUCGGCCACACUGGGACUGAGACACGGCCCAGACUCCUACGGGAGGCAGCAGUAGGGAAUCUUCCACAAUGGACGAAAGUCUGAUGGAGCAACGCCGCGUGAGCGAUGAAGGCCUUCGGGUCGUAAAGCUCUGUUGUUAGGGA
rnacentral:rRNA from 1 species